CCAAAGAAAGAAAUACGUGGAAGCAGCUUCGCCACCAAUGUUUCAGCAGAAAGCAAAGGCCUCAAGAAACGCAUGCUAAGCCAGCGAUCUCAAGCAAAACCACAAGCGCCUUUGAUAAGCCGUGUCUGUACUGCCAGCAGCCUCACACUCUUGCUGCAUGCAGUAAAAUCAAAGCUCAACCACACAAAGAACGAGUGGACUUUUGAAGUCAAAGGGAUUGUGUUUCGGAUGCUUAAUGCCUGGCCAUCUCAGCAAAUUCUGCAAAAGAAGAAUUGAAUGUAAAGAAUGUAAGUUGAAGCAUCCGGACAUUCUGCACAUAAUCAAAGAAGGAUCUGCUGUGCCUGAAAAGAAAGAAGAUGCUCAUGGAAGCCAAGUAUCAUGUGCUCAGGUUUCUGUCCAACAGGAGUCUUGUAGCCUCACAGGGGCCGGAGAAGCUGAAUGUGUGCUGUCAAUAGUACCGGUGAAAAUUAAAUCAAAGAAGAGUAACAAGUGUGUUGAAACAUACGCCUUUUUAGACCCGGGAAGCACAGCAACCUUCUGUACGGAAGACCUGCAAAGAAAACUGAGUGUUAAAGGAAAACCGACACGAAUACUUCUCAGCACCAUGGGACAAGACAAACCUGAAGAACCAAAGCUCAUGAACAGUUUAGCUAUCUCAGACCUUGAGGUGUGCGGAUGGGAAGACACCAGCUUCAUUGACCUGCCGAAGGUGUUCACACACAGAAACAUACCUGUGCACACUGGAAACAUACCUAAGCAGUCAGACAUCCAGAAGUGGCCUUACCUCAGAGAAGUGAGCUUGCCAGAGAUAAAAGCUGACAUAGGCCUACUUAUUGGAGCCAACUGCUCGAGAGCAAUGGAGCCAUGGCACAUUAUCAACAGUCAAGAUGGAGGGCCGUAUGCUGUCAAGACCGCCAUUGGCUGGGUGGUGAACGGACCCGUAAGAAAAGAACUAAAAGACGAAGAGAGUGAGUCACCUCAUCUUUCAGUGAAUAGGAUCUCCGUGAUGGAAAUUGAGAAACUUCUGGUUGAACAGUACAACACUGAUUUUCCAGAGCGAAAGUACGAUGACAAAGAAGAGAUGUCCCAGGAAGACAAACAGUUUUUGCAGUCUGUGCAGAAGACAACAACAUUCGAGAGUGGGCAUUACUGUGUUGGAUUGCCACUCAGGAACGAGAAGGUCAAAAUGCCCAACAAUCGGUGCGUUGCUGAACAGCGCAUAACCUGUCUGAGAAGAAAGCUACAGAAGAAUCCUGAGUUCUUUGAGGACUACAAGAGCUUCAUGCACACGAUCAUUGAAAAGGGCUAUGCCAUUCAAGUUCCACCACACCAGCUGAACCGUGACGACAACAGGGUGUUCUACAUACCACACCACGGUGUUU
rnacentral:lncRNA from 1 species